rnacentral:rRNA from 1 species
CGAGGCGAACCGGGGGAACUGAAACAUCUAAGUACCCCGAGGAAAAGAAAUCAACCGAGAUUCCCCCAGUAGCGGCGAGCGAACGGGGAGCAGCCCAGAGUCUGAAUCAGCUUGUGUGUUAGUGGAACGGUCUGGAAAGUCCGGCGAUACAGGGUGACAGCCCCGUACACGAAAGCACACAGGCUGUGAACUCGAAGAGUAGGGCGGGACACGUGGUAUCCUGUCUGAAUAUGGGGGGACCAUCCUCCAAGGCUAAAUACUCCUGACUGACCGAUAGUGAACCAGUACCGUGAGGGAAAGGCGAAAAGAAC